rnacentral:rRNA from 1 species
AAGCAUAUCAAUAAGCGGAGGAAAAGAAACCAACAGGGAUUGCCUCAGUAACGGCGAGUGAAGCGGCAACAGCUCAAAUUUGAAAUCUGGCCUCGGCCCGAGUUGUAAUUUGUAGAGGAAGCUUUUGGUGCGGCACCGACCGAGUCCCCUGGAACGGGGCGCCAUAGAGGGUGAUAGCCCCGUAUGGUUGGACGCCUAUCCUCUGUAAAGCUCCUUCGACGAGUCGAGUAGUUUGGGAAUGCUGCUCUAAAUGGGAGGUAGAUUCCUUCUAAAGCUAAAUACCGGCCAGAGACCGAUAGCGCACAAGUAGAGUGAUCGAAAGAUGAAAAGCACUUUGAAAAGAGGGUUAAAUAGCACGUGAAAUUGUUGAAAGGGAAGCGCCUGUGACCAGACUUGCGCCCCGUCGAUCAUCCGGGGUUCUCCCCGGUGCGCUCGGCGGGGCUCAGGCCAGCAUCGGUUCUCGCGGGGGGACAAAGGCUCCGGGAACGUAGCUCCUCCGGGAGUGUUAUAGCCCGGGGCGUAAUGCCCUCGCGGGGACCGAGGACCGCGCUUCGGCAAGGAUGCUGGCGUAAUGGUCACCGGCGACCCGUCUUGAAACACGGACCAAGGAGUCAAGGUUUUGCGCGAGUGUCUGGGUGUAAAACCCGCACGCGUAAUGAAAGUGAACGUAGGUGAGAGCUUCGGCGCAUCAUCGACCGAUCCUGAUGUAUUCGGAUGGAUUUGAGUAGGAGCGUUAAGCCUUGGACCCGAAAGAUGGUGAACUAUGCUUGGAUAGGGUGAAGCCAGAGGAAACUCUGGUGGAGGCUCGCAGCGGUUCUGACGUGCAAAUCGAUCGUCAAAUCUGAGCAUGGGGGCGAAAGACUAAUCGAACCAUCUAGUAGCUGGUUACCGCCGAAG